rnacentral:rRNA from 1 species
AUUGAACGCUGGCGGCAUGCCUUACACGUGCAAGUCGAACGGUAACGGGCCUUCGGGUGCCGUCGAGUGGCGAACGGGUGAGUAAUACAUCGGAACGUGCCCGAUCGUGGGGGAUAACGAGGCGAAAGCUUUGCUAAUACCUCAUACGAUCUACGGAUGAAAGCAGGGGACCGCAAGGCCUUGCGCGGACGGAGCGGCCGAUGGCAGAUUAGGUAGUUGGUGGGAUAAAAGCUUACCAAGCCGACGAUCUGUAGCUGGUCUGAGAGGAUGAUCAGCCACACUGGGACUGAGACACGGCCCAGACUCCUACGGGAGGCAGCAGUGGGGAAUUUUGGACAAUGGGCGCAAGCCUGAUCCAGCCAUGCCGCGUGCAGGAUGAAGGCCUUCGGGUUGUAAACUGCUUUUGUACGGAACGAAAAGCCUUCUUUUAAUACAGGAGGGUCAUGACGGUACCGUAAGAAUAAGCACCGGCUAACUACGUG